UGAUUCUAACAACCCAAUAACAGCUCCUAUGUUUUAGCUAGACAAACAUAUGUACACCAGCACAAGAAACAAAAUUCUGCUUCUGAGACUACAGCUACACUACAGCCAGGAUCGAUGCUCUGAGAUCAAUCCAGGGGCGGUCGUUUUAGCAGGUCUAGUGAAGACCCACCAAAUCAACAGCAGAUCGCUCUCCAGUCGACCCCUGUACUCUACCCCCAACGAGAAGAGUAAGGUUCUGAGGAAUAUCAGGCAGGAUGGAGCAGCAAUAAUUGACUGCUCCCAGAUGGUUCAGACAAUUCUGGUUCCCUACCACAGGGGUGGGCAAACUUUUUGCUGCAAGGGCCACAUCUGGAAUUAAGAAGGACUCUGAGCUCAGGGAUUCAUGUUGAUUAGCCUACUUAUCCAUGAAAGUCACCUUUCUAAAUUGCCAUCACCUCAGCAAGAAAGAGCAUGAGGAGGAGAAGAGCACAGGCACAGACUAACAGAUAAGGCUAGAAAAAGAUAUUCCCGUCAGUUGCAUGGAGCACAUGUGGAAUACAGGUAGACUAUGCAUCUUGAAUAACUCCAGUUCCUGUACUAAGUAACUUCUUUCCACUGAUUACAGUAAUAACUUGGCCUACAGAAUGUACUUUCUCCCAGAUUGCAGGUUCAAGGAUAUGGAUAAUAAUG